AUGAAAUUGAAAAUCUUACAACUUCCCAUCCUUAUUCAUAAUAAAUCACAGACUGUUGAUUUCUCUGGUGCAUUUACGUUUUUAGCAAAAACAGGUCAUUCCAUCUCUACAAUAGCAUGUCUCAUCUCCCACUGGUCAACGCUGAUAGUAUUCGGCAAACUGGCUUUCAAGGUUAUGGAAGCUCUCCAAGAACACCGCCACCACAUGGCUGGGAAGAUACUUCAAACUCUUGCGUAA